AUGCUUGCAUCACCAGUACGUGUACUAAAACCGGAAUGAGGCAGAGAAGAUUAGCGUGGCCCCUGCAGAAGGACGACAUGCAAAUUCGUGAAGCAUUCCAUAUUUUU
ensembl:snRNA U6 U6 spliceosomal RNA